UUGCAGACAGUUAAGCUAAUUGUGCUCUUUUUCCCAUGGGGGUCCAGUGUGCAGUGGCUUCAAAGAGCAGCCUCCUUGGUAAUGUAUGCAGCCUGUUGCCUGUAUGGGUUGCCCUAAGGGACCUUAGAGUCAGCC